rnacentral:rRNA from 1 species
GUGCCAGCCGCGGCGGUAAUACGUAGGUGGCAAGCGUUGUCCGGAAUUAUUGGGCGUAAAGCGCGCGCAGGCGGUUCCUUAAGUCUGAUGUGAAAGCCCACGGCUCAACCGUGGAGGGUCAUUGGAAACUGGGGAACUUGAGUACAGAAGAGGAGAGUGGAAUUCCACGUGUAGCGGUGAAAUGCGUAGAUAUGUGGAGGAACACCAGUGGCGAAGGCG